rnacentral:rRNA from 1 species
CCGAUGGCGACCGGCGCACGGGUGAGUAACACGUAUCCAACCUGCCGUCUACUCUUGGACAGCCUUCUGAAAGGAAGAUUAAUACAAGAUGGCAUCAUGAGUCCGCAUGUUCACAUGAUUAAAGGUAUUCCGGUAGACGAUGGGGAUGCGUUCCAUUAGAUAGUAGGCGGGGUAACGGCCCACCUAGUCUUCGAUGGAUAGGGGUUCUGAGAGGAAGGUCCCCCACAUUGGAACUGAGACACGGUCCAAACUCCUACGGGAGGCAGCAGUGAGGAAUAUUGGUCAAUGGGCGAGAGCCUGAACCAGCCAAGUAGCGUGAAGGAUGACUGCCCUAUGGGUUGUAAACUUCUUUUAUAAAGGAAUAAAGUCGGGUAUGGAUACCCGUUUGCAUGUACUUUAUGAAUAAGGAUCGGCUAACUCCGUGCCAGCAGCCGCGGUAAUACGGAGGAUCCGAGCGUUAUCCGGA